rnacentral:rRNA from 1 species
GAGUUUGAUCGUGGCUCAGGAUGAACGCUGGCGGCGUGCCUAACACAUGCAAGUCGAGCGGUAUAUAUUGGAUUGAAACUUCGGUCGAAUGAAGAUAUAGAGAGCGGCGGACGGGUGAGUAACGCGUAGGCAACCUGCCCCAUACAGAGGGAUAGCCUCGGGAAACCGGGAUUAAAACCUCAUAACGCGAGAGUAUCACAUGGUGCUUUCGCCAAAGAUUUAUCGGUAUGGGAUGGGCCCGCGUCUGAUUAGCUAGUUGGUGGGGUAACGGCCUACCAAGGCAACGAUCAGUAGCCGACCUGAGAGGGUAAUCGGCCACAUUGGAACUGAGACACGGUCCAAACUCCUACGGGAGGCAGCAGUGGGGAAUAUUGCACAAUGGGCGAAAGCCUGAUGCAGCAACGCCGCGUGAGCGAUGAAGGCCUUUGGGUCGUAAAGCUCUGUCCUUGGGGAAGAAAAAAUAGACGGUACCCUUGGAGGAAGCCCGGCUAACUACGUAGCCAGCAGCCGCCGCGGU